rnacentral:rRNA from 1 species
CCUACGGGUGGCUGCAGUGAGGAAUAUUGGUCAAUGGGCGAGAGCCUGAACCAGCCAAGUAGCGUGAAGGAUGACUGCCCUACGGGUUGUAAACUUUUUUUAUAAAGGAAUAAAGUGCGGCACGUGUGCCUUUUUGUAUGUACUUUAUGAAUAAGGAUCGGCUAACGCCGUGCCAGCAGCCGCGGUAAUACGGAGGACCCGAGCGUUAUCCGGAUUUAGUGGGUUUAAAGGGAGCGUAGAUGGCUUGUUAAGUCAGUUGUGAAAGUUUGCGGCUCAACCGUAAAAUUGCAAUUGAUACUGGCAGCCUUGAGUACAGUUGAGGUAGGCGGAAUUCGUAGUGUAGCGGUGAAAUGCUUAGAUAUCACGAAGAACUCCGAUUGCGAAAGCAGCUUACUAAACUGCAACUGACAUUGAUGCUCGAAAGUGUGGGUAUCAAACAGGAUUAGAUACCCUAGUAGUC